GGAAAUGCUACCCUAAUGCCAUCGGUCUGUGAACUGGCGACCCUUUGAAAUUAGAGAAUUUCACUCACUCUCUUUCUAUUUUAAAAAGAAACAAACAAAACAGAAAAGAAGAGGAGGCGAAGUACUCCUGUAGAACUCGAUGGUGUUCUAUAUUUAGUCCAUCUUUUGGGCAUUGAUUGUCCGUCUCUUCGUUGAUCAACAGCCAGAUCUUGUAGAGUAAGUAGAUCUCCAGGCCAGAUCUCAGAGCAGAUCUCAGAUUACAGAUUCAACUCACUCAUUCAUUCAUUAUCGUUAUCCAUGAUUGCUCCCGUCUGAACAGCGGAUCUGAAAACAAAACAAAAACAAAAAAAUAAAUAAAAAUUAAAAGGAACCUCGUGGCCAUCUCUGCCCUUGAGGACUUACUCCGAUCUCUCGCACCACACGGAAUCUAUGUACAGUAUCUACUUCAUGCAUCCGUAACUAUCUUCCUGUUCUGGAUGAGAUAAUUAUGGCAGCUCGUCUCUGCUGCACACAUGAAUUUUCGUUUUAUAUAUCUAAAUAUAUAUAUAUAUUUCCGAAUAAGAAACUCUACCAAGACAUCAAAACAGUUUCAUGCAGGAACCACAGCGAGCGACAGGAACACAUGCGUUGUGAAACCAAGGACCAGAGG
rnacentral:sRNA from 1 species